rnacentral:rRNA from 1 species
AAGANAGAGUUUGAUCCUGGCUCAGAAUGAACGCUGGCGGCAGGCCUAACACAUGCAAGUCGAACGGAGUUAUAUUGUAGCUUGCUAUGGUAUAACUUAGUGGCAGACGGGUGAGUAAUGUAUAGGAAUCUACCUAGUAGUACGGAAUAAUUGUUGGAAACGGCAACUAAUACCGUAUACGCCCUACGGGGGAAAAAUUUAUUGCUAUUAGAUGAGCCUAUAUUAGAUUAGUUAGUUGGUGAGGUAAAGGCUUACCAAGACAAUGAUCUAUAGCUGAUCUGAGAGGAUGAUCAGCCACACUGGAACUGAGAUACGGUCCAGACUCCUACGGGAGGCAGCAGUGGGGAAUAUUGGACAAUGGGCGAAAGCCUGAUCCAGCCAUGCCGCAUGAGUGAAGAAGGCCUUCGGGUUGUAAAGCUCUUUUAGUGAGGAAGAUAAUGACGGUACUCACAGAAGAAGUCCUGGCUAACUCCGUGCCAGCAGCCGCGGUAAUACGGAGAGGGCUAGCGUUAUUCGGAAUCAUUGGGCGUAAAGGGCGCGUAGGCGGGUUAGUAAGUUAAAAGUGAAAUCCCAAGGCUCAACCUUGGAACUGCUUUUAAAACUGCUAGUCUAGAGAUUGAAAGAGGAUAGAGGAAUUCCUAGUGUAGAGAUGAAAUUCGUAAAUAUUAGGAGGAACACCAGUGGCGA